rnacentral:rRNA from 1 species
CUUGGUGACGAAAGCGGCAGUGGUACACCUGGUCACAUCCCGAACCCAGUAGUUAAGGCUGUCAGCGACGAUGGUACUUGGGGGGUAGCCCCCUGGGAGAGUAGUUCAUUGCCAAGA